CGGAGGGUGCAAGCGUUAUCCGGAUUUACUGGGUUUAAAGGGUGCGUAGUGGGUAGGUAAGUCAGUGGUGAAAUCUUCAAGCUUAACUUGGAAACUGCCAUUGAUACUAUUUAUCUUGAAUACUUUGGAGGUAAGCGGAAUAUGUCAUGUAGCGGUGAAAUGCUUAGAUAUGACAUAGAACACCAAUUGCGAAGGCAGCUUACUACACAGUUAUUGACACUGAGGCACGAAAGCGUGGGGAUCAAACAGGAUUAGAUACCCUGGUAGUCCACGCCCUAAACGAUGGAUACUCGACAUUAGCGAUACACAGUUAGUGUCUGAGCGAAAGCAUUAAGUAUCCCACCUGGGAAGUACGAUCGCAAGAUUG
rnacentral:rRNA from 1 species